AGAGUUUGAUCAUGGCUCAGGACGAACGCUGGCGGCGUGCCUAACACAUGCAAGUCGAGCGGGGACUUCGGUCCUAGCGGCGGACGGGUGAGUAACACGUGGGUAACCUGCCUUGUAGAGGGGGAUAGCCUUCCGAAAGGAAGAUUAAUACCGCAUAACAUUAUGCUUCGCAUGGAGUGAUAAUCAAAGGAGUAAUCCGC
rnacentral:rRNA from 1 species